CCGAGGGUCUAUUGGAAACAGCCUCUCUGCCCUAUUGGGGUAGGGAUAAGGUCUGCGUACACACUACCCUCCCCAGACCCCACUUAGUGGGACUUUACUGGGUUGUUGUUGUUGUUGUUGUUGUUGUUGUGUAUAAAGAGACAUACUUAUACUGACGCUUCCUACUUUUGUAAAAAACUAGGCCGGAGGACUUGACAAACUUACGCUAGAUAGUUUGUAUGAUGAUGCAAUGAGACAAACCAGCCAAAAUGCGAGCUAUAAUCCGUGGGAACCUGCACCAGUAGCUUCUCAAAUGAUGCCAAACGUUGGAUACGACCCGUUCUACGUAUCAAACAUGGUGGCAGCCCCAACUAAUGUGCAAAUGGCAGCCAUGGCGAACCAGCAACAGGCUUUCAUGUUACAGCAACAACAACAACAUAUGAUGAUGAUGACUCCCCAACCACAACCGACUGCGAAUCCUUUCGCCAACCCUUAUGGAGCAAAUGCCAAUCCAUACGGCCCCGGUAUGCCUGUACAAGCAUAUAAUCCCUAUCAUACUGGCCUCAUUUGAGCAAUUUAUGGAGAGACCAUGUUGCUGUAUUCAGCUAUUGAUUUUGAUACUCAGGAAGCUAUUGAAGAAUAGAUUUGUAUCACUGCAGGAGGUAGUGUAAAAUUAUUUGUUAAAUAUUUAGGUAACUUUCUUGGUUCAUUCUUUAUUUGCAAACAUGGCGGGAACGCUCAAUAAUUCUUGACUCUUAAUUUUUUUCUUCUUCUAAACCUGCUUAUUCUUGGGCUGGAUUUUCUUAUUGCCAUUUCUUGGCUCUUUUAUGAGUUUUGAAUUUUUGUAAGAUUUGUAUUGUGAAACAAAUUUGCUUAGUGAUUGUACAUGGUUUGGAUAUGAAAUGUGGUCCUUUUGUAUACUCU
rnacentral:lncRNA from 1 species